GCACCUGCUUGUUCCUGUUCCUCGCUGUGCAGUGCAGGGCUGGGGACACUCAGUGCUACAGCACAGCAGUGGAAAUCCAGAUGGGUUCUUUUCCACUGUUGGGACUCAUCUCUACACCUCUGCAACAGCA
rnacentral:snoRNA from 1 species